rnacentral:rRNA from 1 species
GACGAACGCUGGCGGCGUGCCUAAUACAUGCAAGUAGAACGCUGAAGAGAGGAGCUUGCUCUUCUUGGAUGAGUUGCGAACGGGUGAGUAACGCGUAGGUAACCUGCCUGGUAGCGGGGGAUAACUAUUGGAAACGAUAGCUAAUACCGCAUAAAAUUGAUUAUUGCAUGAUAAUUAAUUGAAAGAUGCAACUGCAUCACUACCAGAUGGACCUGCGUUGUAUUAGCUAGUUGGUGAGGUAACGGCUCACCAAGGCGACGAUACAUAGCCGACCUGAGAGGGUGAUCGGCCACACUGGGACUGAGACACGGCCCAGACUCCUACGGGAGGCAGCAGUAGGGAAUCUUCGGCAAUGGGGGAACCCUGACCGAGCAACGCCGCGUGAGUGAAGAAGGUUUUCGGAUCGUAAAGCUCUGUUGUAAGAGAAGAACGGGUGUGAGAGUGGAAAGUUCACACUGUGACGGUAUCUUACCAGAAAGGGACGGCUAACUACGUG